UACGAGGGGGGCGAGCGUUGUUCGGAAUUAUUGGGCGUAAAGGGUGCGUAGGCGGUUUGGCAAGUCUGAUGUGAAAUCUAUGGGCUCAACUCAUAGUCUGCAUCGGAAACUGCCGGGCUUGAGUGUGGGAGAGGUGAGUGGAAUUCCUGGUGUAGCGGUGAAAUGCGUAGAUAUCAGGAGGAACACCUGUGGCGAAAGCGGCUCACUGGACCAUAACUGACGCUGAGGCGCGAAAGCUAGGGGAGCAAACAGG
rnacentral:rRNA from 1 species